rnacentral:piRNA from 1 species
UGACAGCUAGCUAACACAAUCCCUG